ACAAGAAUCGCUUGAACCUGGGAGGCAGAGGUUGCAUUGGGCCGAGAUUGUGCCACUGCACUCCAGCUUGGGCAACAGAG
rnacentral:snRNA from 1 species